ACACGUGGGUAACCUGCCCAAGAGAUCGGGAUAACACCUGGAAACAGAUGCUAAUACCGGAUAACAACAGAUGAUGCCUAUCAACUGUUUAAAAGAUGGUUCUGCUAUCACUCUUGGAUGGACCUGCGGUGCAUUAGCUAGUUGGUAGGGUAACGGCCUACCAAGGCGAUGAUGCAUAGCCGAGUUGAGAGACUGAUCGGCCACAUUGGGACUGAGACACGGCCCAAACUCCUACGGGAGGCAGCAGUAGGGAAUCUUCCACAAUGGACGCAAGUCUGAUGGAGCAACGCCGCGUGAGUGAAGAAGGGUUUCGGCUCGUAAAGCUCUGUUGUUGGUGAAGAAGGACGGGGGUAGUAACUGACCUUUGUUUGACGGUAAUCGAUUAGAAAGUCACGGCUAACUACGUGCCAGCAGCCGCGGUAAUACGUAGGUGGCAAGCGUUGUCCGGAUUUAUUGGGCGUAAAGCGAGUGCAGGCGGUUCGAUAAGUCUGAUGUGAAAGCCUUCGGCUCAACCGGAGAAUUGCAUCAGAUACUGUCGAGCUUGAGUACAGAAGAGGAGAGUGGAACUCCAUGUGUAGCGGUG
rnacentral:rRNA from 1 species